GGGCGGGGGGGCAUGCUACCAUGCAAGUCGAACGAAGCGCCCGCGCGGAUUCCCUCGGGAUGAAGCGCGGAUGACUGAGUGGCGGACGGGUGAGUCACGCGUGGGCAACCUGCCCCGUGCCGGGGGACAACAGCCGGAAACGGCUGCUAAUACCGCAUGAUCCGGGAGGGCCGCAUGGCCCUGCCGGGAAAGCUCCGGCGGCACGGGAUGGGCCCGCGUCUGAUUAGUUUGUUGGCGGGGUAACGGCCCACCAAGACUGCGAUCAGCAGCCGGCCUGAGAGGGCGGCCGGCCACAUUGGGACUGAGACACGGCCCAGACUCCUGCGGGAGGCAGCAGUGGGGAAUAUUGCACAAUGGGGGAAACCCUGAUGCAGCGACGCCGCGUGGGCGACGAAGCGCUCCGGCGCGUAAAGCCCUGUCAGCAGGGAAGAACAAAGACAGUACCUGACCAAGAAGCCCCGGCUAACUACGUGCCAGCAGCCGCGGUAAUACGUAGGGGGCAAGCGUUAUCCGGAUUCACUGGGCGUAAAGGGAGCGCAGGCGGCACGGCAAGUCUGGUGUGAAAGCCCGGGGCCCAACCCCGGGACUGCAUUGGAAACUGCCGGGCUGGAGUGCCGGAGGGGUAAGCGGAAUUCCUGGUGUAGCGGUGA
rnacentral:rRNA from 1 species